GUACAAACAUCGGCAGCAUAUUUGGUAAAAUUGGAAAGAUACAGGGAACAUUAGCAAGGCCCCUGAACAAGGAUGACAUGCAAAUUCAUGAAGCGUUCCAUAUUUUU